UCAGUAUUGAGCUUAACAAGGUGCUAUACUUAAUUUUAUGAGAUCACAGUCUCUGUUGUAGAAUAGAAACCAAA
rnacentral:tRNA from 2 species